rnacentral:rRNA from 1 species
AGCGGCGGACGGGUGAGUAAUGCUUGGGAAUAUGCCUUAUGGUGGGGGACAACAGUUGGAGACGACUGCUAAUACCGCAUAAUGUCUACGGACCAAAGUGGGGGACCUUCGGGCCUCACGCCAUAAGAUUAGCCCAAGUGGGAUUAGCUAGUUGGUGAGGUAAUGGCUCACCAAGGCGACGAUCCCUAGCUGGUUUGAGAGGAUGAUCAGCCACACUGGGACUGAGACACGGCCCAGACUCCUACGGGAGGCAGCAGUGGGGAAUAUUGCACAAUGGGCGCAAGCCUGAUGCAGCCAUGCCGCGUGUGUGAAGAAGGCCUUCGGGUUGUAAAGCACUUUCAGUAAGGAGGAAAGGUUAAGUGUUAAUAGCACUUAGCUGUGACGUUACUUACAGAAGAAGCACCGGCUAACUCCGUGCCAGCAGCCGCGGUAAUACGGAGGGUGCGAGCGU